UCCUGGGUGGCUCAGUCAGUUAAGCAUCUGACUUCGGCUCAGGUCAUAAUCUCAUGGUUUGUGGGUUUAAGCCCCACAUCGGGAU
rnacentral:tRNA from 1 species